UCCAGUCCACACCCCUCAGUGCACAGCACAGUAACAAAGACCAGAGCAGAGAAGCUGCUGCAAACAGACGCUGGGGUUGAGGCAACCAGGCACGGAAAGAUAAGCAGCAGGUCGAGGAGGCAGCGGGAUUGAGGAUGAAAGGAGAGACGUGCGGCCGCUCGAGACGUUCCGGAGAGACGCGCAGUUCACCCACGGCACAGAACUUCCUCUGCCAGAGCAGCUCAGAGCAGCAUCCUGUGCCUUGAUGGAAGAAGGCAACAGCUCUGAGCCCAGCCCUGUGCUGCACCAGGGAGAGAUCACAGCUGGGGCAUCUCUGUGAGCUGUACCCACCCUGGUAUAAAUUAGAUGGAAAAAGACAGGAAAACUGAAGCUAAUAUUCCCAGAACAGCCAGGACUUGGAUGUUAUUAACCCCUAUUUUCUCAUUAAAUUCUAGCUUAGACAAACACUUUUCCCUCAUCUAAUGUAACCCAGAGAGAUGAGUCACUUCUCCCCCUUCACAGCUGUCAAAAGCACUGCUGGGCUGUUCCCCCACUGCAGGGAGAGCAGCUUUUCUUUCCUGAGUGCAGCAGCGUGGGAUAGACCAGAGCCCUUCCCUGUGCCCUUUCCCAGAUUUGGUUGUUCACAAGGGAUUGGACUCUGUGAUUCUUGUGGGUCCUUUCCAAUUUGAGAUGUUUGAUGAUUCUGUGAACAAAACCUCCCAUUUUAAGCCUAAAAACCUCAUAAAGGAUCAUACUGGCCACAUCCA